rnacentral:misc_RNA from 1 species
AUUCCACUGUCCUUCAGACCCUGCACAAGGCGAUCGAUUUGUUGUGAUGAAUAAUGAUGCAUUGAACAAAAUAGGAUUUGAAGAGAUCAAUUCACACUCUGGUUUCCAAUUGUGCAAAUUUCUUAAAAUAAGGUUCAGGAUUAUAUAUGGAAUGCGCACUUCUAUCAAUUUGUGGUUGCUUGUAAAGAUUGGCAAUUAAAGUUCAAUCUGCCAAACCAUGUAUGGUAGUUUACCAACUCAAAAAUUUAAUAAACUGAUUAUCUUGAACAGAAAAGAUAUGAUCUACGUCUAGAUCCAGGAGUUGAAAGAAAUUUCAAGCGAUGUAAUUAUUUCAUUGUGAUUACUAUAUCCAAUCUAGAAGAGCGAACAAAUCUGUAAAAUUUAACAUAGAAUAUUCACCUGAAAUGGAAAAUGAUCAGGUCCACGAGCUGGUGCUGAAUUGAUCUGCACUGUUCCUGUCUCCAUAGCAUCACUGAUCAAAAUUGCUUUGUUUAUAUCUCUUGUAAAGACACAUCCCUGAAACAAUGCAACAGCUUAGUUACUUGGACAAAAAAUAAAAUGCAACAACUAAGAAGGAAAUUAUUUCAAAGAGUUAAAUUAAUACAGUGUAUUCCGAACAAAAAGAAAUAAAUGUUUGUCAUUUUGCCUGAAAUGACAAAUAUAAAGUGAAAUACAGCAUUAGAAUUCCAAUGAGUUCUAAAUUUCAAAUGGCUUAAAAUGAAUAAAAGAUGGGUAUCCAUUGAAAUUAAGGCACUGUAGAUGAGCAAUGUUAUACCUGAAGACCAUAAUUGCUAGCAUUACAGUGGUGGAUUCCCUCUUCAACAGAGUUUAUCCUUAUAACUGGUAAAACUGGACCAAAAGGCUCCUCCCAGGCUAUCCUCAUGUCAGGUCGAACGUUAUCUAACAACAAUGGCCAUAUGAGAUUGCCCUCUCUUAUGUACUCCUGACAGAAUGUUGCUCCUUUUUGCUUGGCAUCCAUUACCAACCCUUCAAUAAAGUUUGCUGAGGAUUCUGUAACAACUGGAGUAAUAUCACAGUCGUCCUCAGGUGGUCCAACUGUCAAUUUUGUGACUUUGGCUUUAACUUUCUCGACAAGAAUAUCAGCAACCGAUUCAAUAACUAGAACAACCUUGACAGCCGUACACCUUUGACCGCUGUAUGAGAAGCCUCCUUUAACAAUAUUUGCGGCAGCUAAAUCCAAAUCAGCAUCUUCUAAAAUGAUACAAGCGUCUUUGCCACCCAAUUCCAUCUGAAGAGGGAUCAUGCCUGCCUUCUUUGAGAUUGCUAUUCCAGUGUCUCCACCUGUAAAGCUUAUACAGUUGACCCCUGGAUGCAUUGUGAGGAAGUCACCAAUCUCUGAACCCUUUCCAGUAACACAACUAAUAAGGCCCUUGGGAAAACCAGCCAAGUGAAAG